rnacentral:rRNA from 1 species
GUAUGGUCGCAAGGCUGAAACUUAAAGGAAUUGACGGAAGGGCACCACCAGGAGUGGAGCCUGCGGCUUAAUUUGACUCAACACGGGGAAACUCACCAGGUCCAGACAUAGUAAGGAUUGACAGAUUGAGAGCUCUUUCUUGAUUCUAUGGGUGGUGGUGCAUGGCCGUUUCUUAGUUGGUGGAGUGAUUUGUCUGCUUAAUUGCGUUAACGAACGAGACCUUAACCUGCUAAAUAGUUAUGCCAACUUUUGUUGGUAGUCAACUUCUUAGAGGGACUGUCGGCGAUUAGCCGAUGGAAGUUUUAGGCAAUAACAGGUCUGUUAUGCCCUUAGAUGUCCUGGGCCGCACGCGCGCUACACUGAUGAAGUCAACGAGUUUAUAACCUUGGCCGGAAGGUCUGGGUAAUCUUUUGAAACUUCAUCGUGCUGGGGAUAGAGCAUUGCAAUUGUUGCUCUUCAACGAGGAAUUCCUAGUAAGCGUGAGUCAUCAGCUCGCGCUGAUUACGU